rnacentral:rRNA from 1 species
AUUGAACGCUCGCGGCAAGCCUAACACAUGCAAGUCGAACGAGUGGCGGACGGGUGAGUAAUGUCUGGGAAACUGCCUGAUGGAGGGGGAUAACUACUGGAAACGGUAGCUAAUACCGCAUACCAUCGGAGGUGCCCAGAUGGGAUUAGCUAGUAGGUGGGGUAAAGGCUCACCUCGGCGACGAUCCCUAGCUGGUCUGCGAGGAUGACCAGCCCCACUGGAACUGCGCCCCGGCCCAGACUCCUACGGGAGGCAGCAGUGGGGAAUAUUGCACAAUGGGCGCAAGCCUGAUGCAGCCAUGCCGCGUGUAUUAAGAAGGCCUUCGGGUUGUAAAGUACUUUCAGCGGGGAUGCGUUACCCGCAGAAGAAGCACCGGCUAACUCCGUGCCAGCAGCCGCGGUAAUAC